AACUGAAGGGGAUAGAAAAUAAACAACUGUCAAGUGGUGAUAAGUGCUAAGGAAUAAAAUACAGCAAGCCAGAGACUGGUUGCUCUGGCUGCUGUGUAGAACACACGUGAAAAGGUGGAAGCAGCAGGGAACCUGUUGGGAGGCAAAAGAUGAUAGUGGUUUGGACUAGGAAGUAGCAAAGGAGGCAGAGAAGAUAGUGAGAAGUGGUUGGAUUCUAGACAUAUUUCAAAAUAAAGACAGUAUCCAUUGAACCAAGGGAACCCCAGAAGCCACCAAGUGGAGAACCCCAGGCUUUAGAGAACCCCACAAGCCACCAUGUGGAGAAGCCCA
rnacentral:lncRNA from 1 species